CUCUUCACAAUGACAGGAGCUUUCUCAAGCUCAAAACUGAGUUUAUGCUUCGAAGUUGUGAACAGUGGAUGUUGGUUUUGUUUUGUUCUGCUUUGAUUUGUUUUUGUUUUUAUUUAUUUAUUUGUGUUUGUUCUUUUCAAUAAGAGAACCUGGUUUUAAUGCAAGUUUUGAGAAGCAUUUUGACAACAGAAUGUUGCAAUGCAACAGUGGACGAGGCGCAUUCUCCUCCUCCUCCCCCUCCUGCUGCUGCUGCUAAUUUACUCCUGAGCUCCACACUCGGACUGCUUCAGCCACAACUGAGAACCAUCCACAGACACUCGCGGGUAACCGGAGAUUGAGGUUGAGGUUGUGAAGCUCAGGCACAGCAAAGGGAACAAACAAACCAGCUGCACCAAGUCACAGGAGCCACGCCAUCGAUGCCUUUAACCCACUAUCUUCUCCUUCGGUGGGGUCCUCAUUCUGGCGAGGACGUUACAACCUGGUUUGUGUUUUCCUGUCUCGAAGCUUUGAUCCCCGAAUGCAUCGAUUUAUGGAUGGGUGGGUGGGUUGGCGCAGCGUGGACACACAACCACAGUUGCCCCUCGAAUGCCGAAGAAGCUAAGUGUUUGUUGGUCAUUAGAGUCCCUGGAAAGGGCAGCACAUCAAGGAUUUUCUGAGCACGCAUCGUCCUGGCUAGGGCCCUGGUCGCUCCAUUGUCGCCCUCCUCCCCAGCCAUCGGGCCCCUUUUACCCCACCUUUGCAAAAUUCUGCUUUAUUGCGCACUCUGCGCAUGCAACACACUUAACAUUUUGCAUCAAAUGGUUCACACGGAGCUCUAUUUCCGAUUGUUUCUUUCCGCAUACCCCCCCCCCCCCCCCCCCAUACCUUCAUUCGGAUUCCGGGCCAUUGCGCAGGCAGCAAUUAUAGACUUUUGAUCUGAGCUUCCCAACCCUUGGGAAAAAACCCCCAUGACUGAUCCUGUGCCUCAUCACUCCAGAAGGUUGCAAUCUGCCUUGCGGGCACGAAACCAGGACUCGAUCCCCUGGGAAACUCGGGUGACUGUGUUCCAUCGGUUGCGUUGUUGACGUUGCAUGGUAAUUCUCACCAUUGUUCAGGACAUCGUUGUAUGUUGGGCUACAGAUAGGAACGUGAUAUCACCAACACGAGCUCGAGCUCUAGGGGAGUGAGCCAUUUCUACAUAUUGUUCCUAUGUUAUAUUUCAGUGUGCAGAUAUAACAUUAUAUGGCUGAAAUUUACUAAAACAUACAAAAAGCAAGUUUCAUACAUCUUGGCACUUGUCUAUCAAUAAAUACUUCAGGAGUUUUAAUUGAUUUGUUAAAAAAAAAAAAAAAAAAAAAAAAAAAAAGUUACUGGUCGUAAGCACAAAACAAAAAACAUCGUGUUUUUAUUGCAGUUGGUAGAAGUGACGACGAGGGAACAGACGUAUCAGAAACAAAAUCUGCCCCCCCCCCCCAAUUGAUAAAUUGACGUGUGUAAUAUUGAUAGAGAAAUAAAGUCAAAAAAGGUGGAAGAGGUAAACUAGAAAAUUCUACCCAAUUUAGACACAUCAGAAAUCAGCAAGUAUAUUUUGUGAAAAGAAUUAAUCUAUGGCGAAUAACUUGUUGCAUAAAGCGUGAUCGCAUUACCUGAAAUAAGAUAGGACGCAAGAGCUCUUUGUGUCUGGC
rnacentral:lncRNA from 1 species